GACGAACGCUGGCGGCGUGCCUAAUACAUGCAAGUCGAGCGGACAGAAGGGAGCUUGCUCCCGGACGUUAGCGGCGGACGGGUGAGUAACACGUGGGCAACCUGCCCCUUAGACUGGGAUAACUCCGGGAAACCGGAGCUAAUACCGGAUAAUCCCUUUUUCCACCUGGAGAGAGGGUGAAAGAUGGCUUCGGCUAUCACUAGGGGAUGGGCCCGCGGCGCAUUAGCUAGUUGGUAAGGUAACGGCUUACCAAGGCAACGAUGCGUAGCCGACCUGAGAGGGUGAUCGGCCACACUGGGACUGAGACACGGCCCAGACUCCUACGGGAGGCAGCGUAGGGAAUCUUCCGCAAUGGACGAAAGUCUGACGGAGCAACGCCGCGUGAGUGAGGAAGGCCUUCGGGUCGUAAAGCUCUGUUGUGAGGGAAGAAGCGGUACCGUUCGAAUAGGGCGGUACCUUGACGGUA
rnacentral:rRNA from 2 species